rnacentral:lncRNA from 1 species
GCUGGCACGAUGAGAAAAAUCUUCAUGAAAAUAGAGGAAAAAAUCUACACAAAUCACCAGUGAUUAAUAGAAGUUUAAGAGGAUGCUUAGGAGGAAGAUUUGAGGAUCUUAAGUAGACUAAAUCCUAGGACUUUUCACUGGAGUUUGGUAAGCCCUAGGACUCCAUCUUCUAUCGGAGUCCGAAGAAGAGGUGAUAGAUGUCC